AUUGAACGCUGGCGGCAUGCCUUACACAUGCAAGUCGAACGGUAACAGGUCUUCGGAUGCUGACGAGUGGCGAACGGGUGAGUAAUACAUCGGAACGUGCCCGAUCGUGGGGGAUAACGAAGCGAAAGCUUUGCUAAUACCGCAUAAGAUCUACGGAUGAAAGCAGGGGACCGCAAGGCCUUGCGCGAACGGAGCGGCCGAUGGCAGAUUAGGUAGUUGGUGGGAUAAAAGCUUACCAAGCCGACGAUCUGUAGCUGGUCUGAGAGGACGACCAGCCACACUGGGACUGAGACACGGCCCAGACUCCUACGGGAGGCAGCAGUGGGGAAUUUUGGACAAUGGGCGAAAGCCUGAUCCAGCCAUGCCGCGUGCAGGAUGAAGGCCUUCGGGUUGUAAACUGCUUUUGUACGGAACGAAAAGACUCUGGUUAAUACCUGGGGUCCAUGUCGGUACCGUAAGAAUAAGCACCGGCUAACUACGUG
rnacentral:rRNA from 1 species